rnacentral:rRNA from 1 species
GACGAACGCUGGCGGCGUGCCUAAUACAUGCAAGUCGAGCGAGCGGAACUAACAGAUUUACUUCGGUAAUGACGUUAGGAAAGCGAGCGGCGGAUGGGUGAGUGACACGUGGGGAACCUGCCCCAUAGUCUGGGAUACCACUUGGAAACAGGUGCUAAUACCGGAUAAGAAAGCAGAUCGCAUGAUCAGCUUUUAAAAGGCGGCGUAAGCUGUCGCUAUGGGAUGGCCCCGCGGUGCAUUAGCUAGUUGGUAAGGUAAAGGCUUACCAAGGCGAUGAUGCAUAGCCGAGUUGAGAGACUGAUAGGCCACAUUGGGACUGAGACACGGCCCAAACUACUACGGGAGGCAGCAGUAGGGAAUCUUCCACAAUGGACGCAAGUCUGAUGGAGCAACGCCGCGUGAGUGAAGAAGGUUUUCGGAUCGUAAAGCUCUGUUGUUGGUGAAGAAGGAUAGAGGUAGUAACUGGCCUUUAUUUGACGGUAAUCAACCAGAAAGUCACGGCUAACUACGUG